CCUACGGGAGGCAGCAGUGGGGAAUUUUGGACAAUGGGCGAAAGCCUGAUCCAGCCAUGCCGCGUGAGUGAAGAAGGCCUUCGGGUUGUAAAGCUCUUUCGGCCGGAACGAAAUCGCACCCGUGAAUAUCGGGUGUGGAUGACGGUACCGGAAGAAGAAGGACCGGCUAACUACGUGCCAGCAGCCGCGGUAAUACGUAGGGUCCGAGCGUUAAUCGGAAUUACUGGGCGUAAAGCGUGCGCAGGCGGUUUUGUAAGCCAGUCGUGAAAUCCCCGGGCUUAACCUGGGAAUGGCGAUUGGGACUGCAAGGCUCGAGUGCGGCAGAGGGGGGUGGAAUUCCACGUGUAGCAGUGAAAUGCGUAGAUAUGUGGAGGAACAUCAAUGGCGAAGGCAGCCCCCUGGGUCGACACUGACGCUCAUGCACGAAAGCGUGGGGAGCAAACAGGAUUAGAUACCCGUGGUAGUCCACGCCCUAAACUAUGUACAACUAGUUGUAGGAGAUGAACUUCUUAGUACGCAGCUAACGCGUAGAAGUUGACCGCGUAGGGGAGUACGGUCGCAAGAAUUAAAACCGUUAAGUGAAGUUCGACGGCGUAGAGACGUACGACCGACGGACGACGACGAGGGAGGAGG
rnacentral:rRNA from 1 species